rnacentral:rRNA from 1 species
AUAGCGUAUAUUAAAGUUGUUGAGGUUAAAAAGCUCGUAGUUGAACCUUGGGCCUAGCCGGCCGGUCCGCCUCACCGCGUGCACUGGCUCGGCUGGGCCUUUCCUUCUGGAGAACCGCAUGCCCUUCACUGGGUGUGCUGGGGAACCAGGACUUUUACUCUGAACAAAUUAGAUCGCUUAAAGAAGGCCUAUGCUCGAAUACAUUAGCAUGGAAUAAUAAAAUAGGACGUGUGGUUCUUUUUUGUUGGUUUCUAGAGCCGCCGUAAUGAUUAAUAGGGACAGUCGGGGGCAUCAGUAUUCAAUUGUCAGAGGUGAAAUUCUUGGAUUUAUUGAAGACUAACUACUG